CCUACGGGAGGCAGCAGUGGGGAAUAUUGCACAAUGGGCGCAAGCCUGAUGCAGCCAUGCCGCGUGUAUGAAGAAGGCCUUCGGGUUGUAAAGUACUUUCAGCAGUGAGGAAGGGGUGGGUGUUAAUAGCGSACAUCUUUGACGUUAGCUGCAGAAGAAGCACCGGCUAACUCCGUGCCAGCAGCCGCGGUAAUACGGAGGGUGCGAGCGUUAAUCGGAAUUACUGGGCGUAAAGCGCAUGCAGGUGGUUUGUUAAGUCAGAUGUGAAAGCCCGGGGCUCAACCUCGGAAUAGCAUUUGAAACUGGCAGACUAGAGUACUGUAGAGGGGGGUAGAAUUUCAGGUGUAGCGGUGAAAUGCGUAGAGAUCUGAAGGAAUACCGGUGGCGAAGGCGGCCCCCUGGACAGAUACUGACACUCAGAUGCGAAAGCGUGGGGAGCAAACAGGAUUAGAUACCCUGGUAGUCCACGCCGUAAACGAUGUCUACUUGGAGGUUGUGGCCUUGAGCCGUGGCUUUCGGAGCUAACGCGUUAAGUAGACCGCCUGGGGAGUACGGUCGCGAGAUUAAAACUCAAAGG
rnacentral:rRNA from 1 species